GUAGUGAUGAUGAGUCCUAGAAAAGGACGAAACGGUUGUCCACUAC
rnacentral:hammerhead_ribozyme from 1 species